rnacentral:rRNA from 1 species
GGUUAAGCGACUAAGCGUACACGGUGGAUGCCCUGGCAGUCAGAGGCGAUGAAGGGCGUGCUAAUCUGCGAUAAGCGCCGGUAAGGUGAUAUGAACCGUUAUAACCGGCGAUACCCGAAUGGGGAAACCCAGUGUGACUCGUCACACUAUCAUUAACUGAAUCCAUAGGUUAAUGAGGCGAACCGGGGGAACUGAAACAUCUAAGUACCCCGAGGAAAAGAAAUCAACCGAGAUUCCCCCAGUAGCGGCGAGCGAACGGGGAGGAGCCCAGAGCCUGAAUCAGCAUGUGUGUUAGUGGAAGCGUCUGGAAAGGCGCGCGAUACAGGGUGACAGCCCCGUACACAAAAGCGCAUGUGCUGUGAGCUCGAUGAGUAGGGCGGGACACGUGGUAUCCUGUCUGAAUAUGGGGGGACCAUCCUCCAAGGCUAAAUACUCCUGACUGACCGAUAGUGAACCAGUACCGUGAGGGAAAGGCGAAAAGAACCCCGGCGAGGGGAGUGAAAAAGAACCUGAAACCGUGUACGUACAAGCAGUGGGAGCACAGGUUUACCUGUGUGACUGCGUACCUUUUGUAUAAUGGGUCAGCGACUUAUAUUCUGUAGCAAGGUUAACCGAAUAGGGGAGCCGGAGGGAAACCGAGUCUUAAUUGGGCGUUAAGUUGCAGGGUAUAGACCCGAAACCCGGUGAUCUAGCCAUGGGCAGGUUGAAGGUUGGGUAACACUAACUGGAGGACCGAACCGACUAAUGUUGAAAAAUUAGCGGAUGACCUGUGGCUGGGGGUGAAAGGCCAAUCAAACCGGGAGAUAGCUGGUUCUCCCCGAAAGCUAUUUAGGUAGCGCCUCGUGAAUUCAUCUCCGGGGGUAGAGCACUGUUUCGGCUAGGGGGCCAUCCCGGCUUACCAACCCGAUGCAAACUGCGAAUACCGGAGAAUGUUAUCACGGGAGACACACGGCGGGUGCUAACGUCCGUCGUGAAGAGGGAAACAACCCAGACCGCCAGCUAAGGUCCCAAAGUCAUGGUUAAGUGGGAAACGAUGUGGGAAGGCCCAGACAGCCAGGAUGUUGGCUUAGAAGCAGCCAUCAUUUAAAGAAAGCGUAAUAGCUCACUGGUCGAGUCGGCCUGCGCGGAAGAUGUAACGGGGCUAAACCAUGCACCGAAGCUGCGGCAGCGACGCUUAUGCGUUGUUGGGUAGGGGAGCGUUCUGUAAGCCUGCGAAGGUGGCCUGUGAGGGUUGCUGGAGGUAUCAGAAGUGCGAAUGCUGACAUAAGUAACGAUAAAGCGGGUGAAAAGCCCGCUCGCCGGAAGACCAAGGGUUCCUGUCCAACGUUAAUCGGGGCAGGGUGAGUCGACCCCUAAGGCGCGAGGCCGAAAGGCGUAGUCGAUGGGAAACGGGUUAAUAUUCCCGUACUUGGUGUUACUGCGAAGGGGGACGGAGAAGGCUAUGUUGGCCGGGCGACGGUUGUCCCGGUUUAAGCGUGUAGGUGUGUGUUCCAGGUAAAUCCGGUUCACUUUAACACUGAGGCGUGAUGACGAGGCACUACGGUGCUGAAGUAACAAAUGCCCUGCUUCCAGGAAAAGCCUCUAAGCAUCAGGUAACAUCAAAUCGUACCCCAAACCGACACAGGUGGUCAGGUAGAGAAUACCAAGGCGCUUGAGAGAACUCGGGUGAAGGAACUAGGCAAAAUGGUGCCGUAACUUCGGGAGAAGGCACGCUGACACGUAGGUGAAGUGAUUUACUCACGGAGCUGAAGUCAGUCGAAGAUACCAGCUGGCUGCAACUGUUUAUUAAAAACACAGCACUGUGCAAACACGAAAGUGGACGUAUACGGUGUGACGCCUGCCCGGUGCCGGAAGGUUAAUUGAUGGGGUCAGCGCAAGCGAAGCUCCUGAUCGAAGCCCCGGUAAACGGCGGCCGUAACUAUAACGGUCCUAAGGUAGCGAAAUUCCUUGUCGGGUAAGUUCCGACCUGCACGAAUGGCGUAAUGAUGGCCAGGCUGUCUCCACCCGAGACUCAGUGAAAUUGAACUCGCUGUGAAGAUGCAGUGUACCCGCGGCAAGACGGAAAGACCCCGUGAACCUUUACUAUAGCUUGACACUGAACAUUGAGCCUUGAUGUGUAGGAUAGGUGGGAGGCUUUGAAGUGUGGACGCCAGUCUGCAUGGAGCCGACCUUGAAAUACCACCCUUUAAUGUUUGAUGUUCUAACGUGGACCCGUUACCCGGGUUGCGGACAGUGUCUGGUGGGUAGUUUGACUGGGGCGGUCUCCUCCUAAAGAGUAACGGAGGAGCACGAAGGUUGGCUAAUCCUGGUCGGACAUCAGGAGGUUAGUGCAAUGGCAUAAGCCAGCUUGACUGCGAGCGUGACGGCGCGAGCAGGUGCGAAAGCAGGUCAUAGUGAUCCGGUGGUUCUGAAUGGAAGGGCCAUCGCUCAACGGAUAAAAGGUACUCCGGGGAUAACAGGCUGAUACCGCCCAAGAGUUCAUAUCGACGGCGGUGUUUGGCACCUCGAUGUCGGCUCAUCACAUCCUGGGGCUGAAGUAGGUCCCAAGGGUAUGGCUGUUCGCCAUUUAAAGUGGUACGCGAGCUGGGUUUAGAACGUCGUGAGACAGUUCGGUCCCUAUCUGCCGUGGGCGCUGGAGAACUGAGGGGGGCUGCUCCUAGUACGAGAGGACCGGAGUGGACGCAUCACUGGUGUUCGGGUUGUCAUGCCAAUGGCACUGCCCGGUAGCUAAAUGCGGAAGAGAUAAGUGCUGAAAGCAUCUAAGCACGAAACUUGCCCCGAGAUGAGUUCUCCCUGAGACUUAAAGUCUCCUGAAGGAACGUUGAAGACGACGACGUUGAUAGGCCGGGUGUGUAAGCGCAGCGAUGCGUUGAGCUAACCGGUACUAAUGAACCGUGAGGCUUAACCCU